rnacentral:rRNA from 1 species
UUGGAGGGCAAGUCUGGUGCCAGCAGCCGCGGGUAAUUCCAGCUCCAAUAGCGUAUAUUAAAGUUGUUGCAGUUAAAAAAGCUCGUAGUUGAACCUUGGGUCUGGCUGGCCGGUCCGCCUCACCGCGAGUACUGGUCCGGCUGGACCUUUCCUUCUGGGGAACCUCAUGGCCUUCACUGGCUGUGGGGGGAACCAGGACUUUUACUGUGAAAAAUUAGAGUGUUCAAAACNGGCCUUUGCUCGAAUACAUUAGCAUGGAAUAAUAGAAUAGGACGUGUCGG